rnacentral:rRNA from 1 species
AACGCGAAGAACCUUACCUACUCUUGACAUCCAGAGAACUUUCCAGAGAUGGAUUGGUGCCUUCGGGAACUCUGAGACAGGUGCUGCAUGGCUGUCGUCAGCUCGUGUUGUGAAAUGUUGGGUUAAGUCCCGCAACGAGCGCAACCCUUAUCCUUUGUUGCCAGCGGUUCGGCCGGGAACUUAAAGGAGACUGCCAGUGAUAAACUGGAGGAAGGUGGGGAUGACGUCAAGUCAUCAUGGCCCUUACGAGUAGGGCUACACACGUGCUACAAUGGCGUAUACAAAGAGAAGCGACCUCGCGAGAGCAAGCGGACCUCAUAAAGUACGUCGUAGUCCGGAUUGGAGUCUGCAACUCGACUCCAUGAAGUCGGAAUCGCUAGUAAUCGUAGAUCAGAAUGCUACGGUGAAUACGUUCCCGGGCCUUGUACACACCG